CAGAUGGUGGAUCAAGCACUUACAGCCUACACUCUAGCAGAGUGUGCAGCAGUUGUGUGGGCAACUGUAAUGCUUCCUUUGAACUUGGAAGAACCCCAGAGUGAGCCUCCAGGUGACAGAGAAUCGCACAAGCAGCUAAAGACUGAAGUCUUGGUACUGAGCUUAAGAGGCACAGGACUAAAGACAUGAGGACAACUGAUCAUGGACGUGAACCUCCAAAACUUUCCUCUUAGGAAAUUAAUUCUCUUAGUGUUUUGAAGCAAGCAAUUAUUCUUGGCUUUCUCUCUCGCCAGCCUGCCUUCCACAUUGCCAUUGUAUGAUAAUUCAGGUUGGGUGUAGGAUUCCUGGAAACAACAUCAAGGGUCUUCAGGGGCAGGAGUUCUUUGGUUCCCUGGACCAAGUUCAGGAACACAGAAGUGCUUCUGCGGGAAAAGCUUAAAGGUCAUCAUUAAAGCUCUAUACUAACCAGA